rnacentral:rRNA from 1 species
UGAUUUGUUUUAAAGGGCCGCGGUAUAUUGACCGUGCGAAGGUAGCAUAAUCAUUAGUCUUUUAAUUGGAGGCUUGUAUGAAUGGUUGGACAAAAAGUAAGCUGUCUCGAUUAUAAUAAUUGAACUUAACUUUUAAGUGAAAAGGCUUAAAUGUUUCAGGGGGACGAUAAGACCCUAUAAAGCUUGACAAUAACUUCGUUAUAUUAUAAAUUGUUAGUAUAACUUGAUUUUAACGGGGGUUUGUUUCGUUGGGGCGACGGGAAUAUAAUAAAUAACUGUUCUUUUAAAUAUAAUUACAAAAAUGUUUGGAAAAUAAUUGAUCCUCUAUUAGAGAUUAAAAGAUUAAGUUACUUUAGGGAUAACAGCGUAAUCUUCUUUGAGAGUCCACAUCGACAAGAAGGUUUGCGACCUCGAUGUUGAAUU